rnacentral:rRNA from 11 species
CCUUGAGGAGAACCUAAACACACUAAAGACACCAGAUCCUAUUUCGGCUUGGAAGUGAAGUAGAAUCAGCUCUGUUUAGUACUUGGAUGAGAGACCAUCCAUGAAUACCUGGUACUGAAGGC